rnacentral:lncRNA from 1 species
GUUGCGGGCAGCCCACGGAUCAGGUGAUGUUCAGAAAAGAUGAAGAAACUGUGGCCCAGAGAGGUGAAACAACCCAGCCGAUGUCACGUCGUAGCUAAGAUGACAGCUAUUGGCCUGUACCUCGGCCCUCAAGUUUCCCAUGCAAUGUGCUUCCUACUAUUCAUUGUUGCCCCGUCUCUAGGUAAGUCUUCUGUAAUUUACAUGCUUGUUGAAAGGAUCUGUUUCUGUUUUUUCCUCCUCCCAGUUUGUUGAAGCCCAUGGUGAACUGAGAAAUGCAAGUGGC